rnacentral:pre_miRNA from 1 species
GUGCUGAGAUGAGGCUGAGCCCCUGACCUUGAACCUGGGAUCUUGCCCAUGAUCUCAUGGUGUUGCCGUCAGGGGUAGAUUUCUUGUUAA